AGAUGGGAUUUGACUCUAGUGCGGCUAGUUCCUUGAGGGUUGGCAUGUACACAAACUACUCUAUCUUGUUAUUCUUCCUCCACGAAGAAAUUAUUAUGUUGAGCUGGUAAUUGGGCAAAGCUUGAACUGCACCGUGUGGCUGUAAAGUGCGCUGCUCAUUCAACAUUCAUAGCAUCUGUCAUAUAUGUGGUGGCUGCACGUCAGAAAGUUGGGAUGUGAUUGAUUCUGAAGUCAGAGAAUAUAAAGUGAUUGUUUAAGGUGAAGAUGGAUCAUUUUGCACCACUCCCUCAACUUCAUGGGGUUCGGCAAAAUCCAACACUUAUCUAUUUCUUUUGCACUUCCUUUUUUUUUUAUUUUCAUAGCAAAACAUUGUACGAAAAAAAAAGUGAUUGAAUCUCUAAAAUAAUAUAUGGA